rnacentral:rRNA from 1 species
UAGGGAAUAUUGGACAAUGGGCGCAAGCCUGAUCCAGCCAUGCCGCGUGCAGGAAGAAGGCCUUCUGGGUCGUAAACUGCUUUUCUCUGGGGAUAAAAAGACCCUGCGGGGUAAAUUGAAGGUACCAGAGGAAUAAGCCACGGCUAACUACGUGCCAGCAGCCGCGGUAAUACGUAGGUGGCAAGCGUUGUCCGGAUUUAUUGGGUUUAAAGGGUGCGUAGGCGGCCCUGUAAGUCAGUGGUGAAAUACGGCAGCUCAACUGUCGAGGUGCCAUUGAUACUGCGGGGCUUGAGUGUUGAUGAGGUAGGCGGAAUUGACGGUGUAGCGGUGAAAUGCUUAGAUAUCGUCAAGAACACCGAUAGCGAAGGCAGCUUACCAAGCAAUAACUGACGCUGAGGCACGAAAGUGCGGGGAUCAAACAGGAUUAGAUACCCCCGUAGUCC